rnacentral:rRNA from 1 species
GACAGAGGGUGCAAACGUUGUUCGGAAUUACUGGGCGUAAAGGGCGCGUAGGCGGCCUGUUAAGUCGGACGUGAAAUCCCUCGGCUCAACCGGGGAACUGCGUCCGAUACUGGCGGGCUUGAAUUCGGGAGAGGGAUGUGGAAUUCCAGGUGUAGCGGUGAAAUGCGUAGAUAUCUGGAGGAACACCGGUGGCGAAGGCGGCAUCCUGGACCGACAUUGACGCUGAGGCGCGAAAGCCAGGGGAGCAAACGGG